AAAAAAAACAAGCUCUCUUCAUCUUCUAUACCACACCCUUUCAGGAUGGAAGAGAAGAUGUGGCAUUCUCUGCUUUGAUAGUGCUGGCUUUGUUUUUGAGGUGGGAGAAGGCAUUGAAACUGGACAAGUAUUAAUUGAUUGUUCAGUAAAACAACUAAAAUAAAAACCCUUUACAUUGUUUUA